CAAGCUGAAAUCAUCCAUUAGAUAGAGCUAGGUACCAUAGAGAAGGACCAGUACUCAUCCAUCAGCUGUGCCUACAAAAUGGCUGGGAACAUCCUGAGCCUUCUAGAGUAUUGCUUCAUAUUUCCUGUCAGUAGACUACCAGGAACAAGCAUGACAACCAACUCUUCAGGUCAAAAGAUUGUGUAAAUCUUCACAGAGCAAAGACACUUCUCUCCCUGCUCUGUGGAAAGCUACAAAAAUAUCUAAAGUUUCAACCAGGGAACACAUGGCAGAUAUAAUCAUUAAAUCUAACAUCUUUAAAUUAUCGAAUGGACUGUCUGUUUUUCAUCUGUAAAUCUGAAUGAUAUAGCCUCCUAAGGCUCUAGAAAUUUAAGGUUUAAAGUGUCACAGUGAUCAUUCUGAGCACAGAACAAUCCUGGGCCAAAGAAGAAUAAGGACUUUGCCAUGCUAAAAUGUGAAAGCAUUUUCUUCUUCAACCCUGCGUACCCAGAUUCGCCAUCAUUGUCACCAGCACCAGCAAUUACCUAGUGCACCUAUUUUCCCGUCAGGAAUACCCAGAGCAUCCUAGGGAGGAAGAAAUUGCUCUUCAUAACCAUUUUUAGGAAUAAAGGUUCAGAACCACAGAGAUCUGAAAAUACAAAGUACAUAACUACCAUCAAUAUAAUUGCUAACAGCACUAUAUUGUCACAUUGAAUUUUUUGUAAGUGUAAGAAAAUGGUCUCCUUGAAUCAAUUCAUAUGUUUUAUCCCUCCACCUCUACCCA